rnacentral:rRNA from 1 species
GAGUUUGAUCUUGGCUCAGAUUGAACGCUGGCGGCAUGCCUAACACAUGCAAGUCGCGCGGAGUGUAGCAAUACACUUAGCGGCGGACGGGGUGAGGAAUACAUAGGAAUUUGCCCUUAAGCGGGGGAUAGCCCGGGGAAACUCGGAGUAAUACCGCAUGAUGUCGAAAGACCAAAGCCGGGGACCGCAAGGCCUGGCACUUUUGGAGAAGCCUAUGUCCGAUUAGCUAGUUGGUAGGGUAAUGGCCUACCAAGGCGACGAUCGGUAACUGGUCUGAGAGGACGAUCAGUCACACCGGAACUGAGACACGGUCCGGACUCCUACGGGAGGCAGCAGUGGGGAAUAUUGGACAAUGGGCGCAAGCCUGAUCCAGCAAUGCCGCGUGUGUGAAGAAGGCC